rnacentral:lncRNA from 1 species
ACCUCCUGAUGUCACCAUUCCUCUGAAGAGUGUGAGCUAUGUGUGAGUGGACAAAGCAGUGCCCCACUCCUGCAAAGGCAUGCUGAAAUAUGCACUUAAAGUGAUGCACUGCAAAUUGUCCCAUAAAUCUGAGUGUGCCUGUAAGUGUUUGUGGGCUUGGAGCCUAAAGGAACAUUCACCUACAACUUCCACUGCAUUAGGACUGAGCUGAGGAACCUCAUCUCUUCUACUGCUAGACCUGUUGAACGGACACCACUGGAGCCUCAAGAGAGAAAACUGUUCUUAUACAAACUGCACAGGAAGAACAUACAUAAAAUAAACAACAACAACAAAAAAAACCUGAAAGAGCAAUCAAAAUACAACAAUCAAGAGAAGAAAAAAACCAAAAUAGCCAAAAAAAUCAAUAUAACUUGAUUCUUAAGACUGAAAUUGCAUUUGUGACCUUAGAAGCUUGCAGAACCCCCAACAGCAGCAUCACCUCUACCCAGACUGCCUCACACCUAAGAAAGGACCAAGCACUACACAGAAAAGCAGCUGCAGUUUUUACCUGACAGCACAAAGGGAUUACAACCCACAAAUGCUUAGGGAAGGAAUGGACAACUCUAUAAAUAGUGGAUCUUGAUGGAAUGGGAAUUUGUACCAGCGAAAAUGCUGAGAUGAAAGAAAAGAAAGCUCAGGGGCCACAGAGAGUGAAGAGAGCCAAAUGCUGCCAUGAACCUUCCACUCUCCGCUUGGUGUGCAGCCACAUGGACACAAAUGGAGAUCAUGGAGCAGACCAUCAAAAAAACUCACAGUUUAUCCUGAAGAAACCUUCCACAGUAGGGAAUAAUACUGACUUUGCAAAGAUUGAGUAAAUCCAACAGCCUUUUGUCAACAGCAAACGGGUGCUUGAAGAAAACCUCCUACCAAAUGGAAGCUGUGUUGAUCCAAUACAGCCUGAAGCACCCCCAAAGCUGUGCUUGGUACUGGAGAUGUUUGCUGUGUCAAGGCACAGCCCAUUCAGAAUGUAACUUUUGCUAUCAAGCUAUUUGGAGUUAUGACUCAUGUAUCCCAUGGUCUCUGCCCCUGCCUCCACAACACUAAAUGGUCUCAAAAAUGUCACAAUCUCAUGCUCACAGAGGAAAAAAAAGAAACAAUGUAUUAACAAAGGGGCUCAGACUAUGCUUUCCAGAGGAGAGACAAACAAGGCAAAGCUAUAAGGAUGACCAAGAUGACAGCUAAAGCCCUUGCUGUAGGAAGCAGCAAACCAGGCUUCAAACACACAAAAAUGAACUCCAU